rnacentral:rRNA from 1 species
GACGAACGCUGGCGGCGUGCCUAAUACAUGCAAGUAGAACGCUGAAGAGAGGAGCUUACUCUUCUUGGAUGAGUUGCGAACGGGUGAGUAACGCGUAGGUAACCUGCCUUGUAGCGGGGGAUAACUAUUGGAGACGAUAGCUAAUACCGCAUAACAAUGGAUGACACAUGUCAUUUAUUUGAAAGGGGCAAUUGCUCCACUACAAGAUGGACCUGCGUUGUAUUAGCUAGUAGGUGAGGUAAUGGCUCACCUAGGCGACGAUACAUAGCCGACCUGAGAGGGUGAGCGGCCACACUGGGACUGAGACACGGCCCAGACUCCUACGGGAGGCAGCAGUAGGGAAUCUUCGGCAAUGGGGGCAACCCUGACCGAGCAACGCCGCGUGAGUGAAGAAGGUUGUCGGAUCGUAAAGCUCUGUUGUAAGUCAAGAACGGGUGUGAGAGUGGAAAGUUCACACUGUGACGGUAGCGUACCAGAAAGGGACGGCUAACUACGUG